CCUCCUUUUUGCUCCUUUCCUUUGUCUUCGAUCUUUCAGUGCAGUAAUCAGUCUAGUUCUUGGGGGAUUUUGCGAAUUUUAGAGGUGAAAACACCCGGAAUACCUUUACUGGUCAACUUUAUACAGCUCUACGACAUGCAAGAAUACGCACAUUUAGGGAUGAUGAUGGGCGAAAAUUGAUUUACUAGGCCCCAAAUGGUCGUCGGAUUUGAGGCCAGGGAUAGUGGUCAAUCUCGUAUUGGUAAAGUCGGUUAGCGGUUUUCAGUGUGAGUUCGGUUGGGCCGAGAGUGUGGUUAGGAAAACAUGACAUUACAUUGCAUAAUGGACAUGGCAAGGAAGUUAUAGACAACACACCCCCUCAAGCUUAGAAGUGUAGAAACGGACUUUUGAUAUCAUUUGUAAUAGAUUAAUAUAGACAAUGAUCUUGUAAUAUAACUAUAUUCUUUUGUAAGCUUCAAGUGAAGCCCUUGUAUGUAUAGCCAUGGAGGCCUCGUCAUUUUUGUAAACCUAUUCUUUUGCUCAUAUAUGAAUGGUUUGGAUUAGUUUUGAUUCAUGAAUGAUGUAUGAACGAUAUUAUUUUGAUGAUUCAAUGGCAUGUUUAGAGGUUUAUGAUGUC